rnacentral:rRNA from 1 species
GACGAACGCUGGCGGCGUGCUUAACACAUGCAAGUCGAACGGAAAGGCCCAGCUUGCUGGGUACUCGAGUGGCGAACGGGUGAGUAACACGUGGGUGAUCUGCCCUGGACUCUGGGAUAAGCCUGGGAAACUGGGUCUAAUACCGGAUAUGACCUUACAUCGCAUGGUGUUUGGUGGAAAGCUUUUGCGGUUCAGGAUGGGCCCGCGGCCUAUCAGCUUGUUGGUGGGGUAAUGGCCUACCAAGGCGACGACGGGUAGCCGACCUGAGAGGGUGAUCGGCCACACUGGGACUGAGACACGGCCCAGACUCCUACGGGAGGCAGCAGUGGGGAAUAUUGCACAAUGGGCGCAAGCCUGAUGCAGCGACGCCGCGUGAGGGAUGACGGCCUUCGGGUUGUAAACCUCUUUCACCAGGGACGAAGCGUGUGUGACGGUACCUGGAGAAGAAGCACCGGCCAACUACGUG